rnacentral:rRNA from 1 species
GAUGAACGCUGGCGGCGUGCCUAAUACAUGCCAGUCGAGCGAACAGACGAGGAGCUUGCUCCUUCGACGUUAGCGGCGGACGGGUGAGUAACACGUAGGUAACCUACCUAUAAGACUGGGAUAACUUCGGGAAACCGGAGCUAAUACCGGAUAAUAUUUCGAACCGCAUGGUUCGAUAGUGAAAGAUGGCUUUGCUAUCACUUAUAGAUGGACCUGCGCCGUAUUAGCUAGUUGGUAAGGUAACGGCUUAUCAAGGCAACGAUACGUAGCCGACCUGAGAGGGUGAUCGGCCACACUGGAACUGAGACACGGUCCAGACUCCUACGGGAGGCAGCAGUAGGGAAUCUUCCGCAAUGGGCGAAAGCCUGACGGAGCAACGCCGCGUGAGUGAUGAAGGUCUUCGGAUCGUAAAACUCUGUUAUUAGGGAAGAACAAACGUGUAAGUAACUGUGCACGUCUUGACGGUACCUAAUCAGAAAGCCACGGCUAACUACGUG